AAAAACAUCGCCUCCUGCAAAAAUCAAUGUAUAGGAGGUCCUGCCUGCCCAGUGACUAUUAGUUAAACGGCCGCGGUAUUUUGACCGUGCUAAGGUAGCGCAAUCACUUGUCCUUUAAAURAGGACCUGUAUGAAUGGUGGAACGAGGGCUUAACUGUCUCCCCCUCCCAAUCAAUGAAAUUGAUCUGCCCGUGCAGAAGCGGRCAUAAACAUACAAGACGAGAAGACCCUUUGGAGCUUAAGAUACUUUAAUCAYCYGUGUUAAACCCCUYAUAAAAAGGAUUGAACAAAACAGCACCUGAUUAUUAUCUUCGGUUGGGGCGACCGCGGGGGAAAACAAAGCCCCCAUGUGGAAUGGGAAAYAUCCUACAACCUAGAAAGACAUUUCUAAGUCACAGAACUUCUGACCAAAAGAUCCGGCCUCACRGGCCGAACAACGAACCAAGUUACCCUAGGGAUAACAGCGCAAUCCUCUUURAGAGUYCAUAUCGACAAGUGGGUUUACGACCUCGAUGUUGGAUCAGGACAUCCUAAUGGUGCAGCCGCUAUUAAGGGUUCGUUUGUUCAACGAUUAAAGUCCUACGUGAUCUGAG
rnacentral:rRNA from 1 species